UACAGAGACUGCAAGCGUUAUUCGGAUUCACUGGGCGUAAAGUGUGCGCAGGCGGCCGAGCAAGUCGAGUGUGAAAGCCCCGAGCUUAACUUGGGAACUGCGCUCGAAACUACUUGGCUAGAGUGUGGCAGAGGGAGGUGGAAUUCCACGUGUAGCGGUGAAAUGCGUAGAGAUGUGGAGGAACACCGAUGGCGAAAGCAGCCUCCUGGGCCAACACUGACGCUCAUGCACGAAAGCGUGGGGAGCAAACAGG
rnacentral:rRNA from 1 species